CACCUGGGGAAAGUGUAUACAUAUAACCCUUUGUGCAAGUGCUCUUUUUCUGGGUCCUGUUGACCAUUGCUUCAGUUAUUGGGAUCACUGUCUACGGACUUUCAGUGUUCAUUGUAUUUUCUGCAAAACUUCCCAAGAACCUGAAUGGAAGAGAUCCAAUCCAGAAGUACCUGACUGUGCAGGUGGGCCACGCCCAUCACUGCUUCCCUCAUCAGUUUUAUCAUCAUCGUGACCCUGAGCGCCAUAUAUGAGAAAGUGGCAGUCAUGAUGACUGACUCUGCUGCAGAGCUCCCAAGGACCAGACUGACUAUGAGAACAAGCUAGUCAUGGAGGUGUUCUUGUUCCAGUUUGUCAACUACUACUCCUCGUGCUUCUACAUCACAUUCUUUAAGGGCAGAUUUGUGACUUAUCCAGGAGAU